rnacentral:lncRNA from 1 species
CAAGGCAUACCCAUCUGUAUCAUCAUAGAUAACGUGUCCAGGAGAGACAGCACAAGGGGCUCCAUCUUCAUCACACAACUCAUCGCAUGCUUCCAGAGAUAUUCCUGGCGCUGCCACCUAGAGGAAGUAUUUUGGAAGGUUCAGCAAGCAUUUGAAAGUCCGGAGGCAACAGUCCAAAUGCCCACCAUAGAACGAGUGUCCAUGACAAGAUAUUUCUACCUCUUUCCUGGCAAUUGAAAAUGGUUAAGCA